AGCGUCUUAGCGCAGCGAUAUUUGCUCGUCUGAUGUUGUGAAUUGCUGAUACGUGUUAAUGUUUGUCUUUUAGAGAUUCACGUUUUUCUGAUACGAAUGUCAUGCAUUAGGCGGAGGCAUCAAGGAUCCAGUUUAGAGUGUGGGACAGUGCAAGUCGUCUGAGAAAAUCUGCAGCUUCCUUAUAAAAGGCAAAAUCACCUUUCAUGUUGAAUAGUCAAAUCUGAAAAAGGACAGUAUAGAGAGUGCACAAAUGGGAGAGAGAGGAGGGGACUCUUUCAAGGAUAACCUGAAGCACAUCCACGCUAUAUGUCAGAGCACUGCACAAGGCUGUUGGUUCUGACAUUUUAUCUGAAUUUGAAAAAACUAUUUUACUUAAAAUAUUAAAUGCAUUUAAUUUAAGGCAGGGUUUUUCCUGCAUAGAGAAUUUCAAAGCAACUGUGUCUGUCAAAUUUAGUGCCUUCUCUGGCUGUCGACAUAUGCUCCUAUCACCCUUAACCCAUGGUUGCAGGUUCCAUUCUCAAACUGUUUUACCCAUUUCCAUUGCAAAAAUAUAAAAAUCUCUUGUAAUGAGAGGUCGACCAACAAUGUUUUUUCACUGGCCGAUGCUGAUAUUUAGAAAUCAGGGUGGCCGAUGACUGAGAUAUGAUGCAGAUUUUUGGACCGAUAUUUUUGGCCGAUUUUCUUAUACCAUUGAUAUUCUAUUUUUUUUUUUUUUUUAGAUGCACCUGUACUUGUUCUGCCUUUGGGACUAAUCACAGUUGUGCUCAAGUCUAAUCAAAUGAGCUAUUUUUGUCUUAUUUUCUCAUAUCCCAUGUGAUCCAGUUGGGUCAGUUUUUCAUUAAUAUGUUUGUCUUAAGCUGUGUUAAAUAAGAAGUGUAAAUACAGAAUGUUCAUUUACUUUUGGCUAGACUAUGCCUUUAAGUGAACCAGAAUCUGCUAUCAAAUCAUGGUCAUAUUAUAGUUACAAUUACAUUUAAACUGGACAGUUUAUUUAAUAUUUUGGAUACCUGAAGAACUGUAACACUUGCCAUCGUGAUGCUAAAAUACAUAAGUAUUAUUAGAAAGAACAAUGGUAAAUGCAAUUGACUUAUGGCAUUGCCUUUUAAUUAAGGGAGCAGAAGCAGAAAGUGUGCCACAAGGAAAAUGAACAGGAGUUUAAAUUCUGAAUGUCUUUAUUAAAAUAAAAUCCAGCCAUGGUGUAAAAAUUAAAUGUGAUCCACACCUCAAAAUGUAAACAAAUAAAAACAAAUGUUAUCAAAUAUAUAGUGUUACUGUCACAAUUAUUGCACUGCUUGAGUAGCAAAGAACCCAGAUAAGGAGUAACUCAAACACUGGUCUUUAAUAAUACAAAACCAAGGUAUAACACAGGGCAGGCAGGAGUACACACAAAGAAACACGUAUUCAUUCAAUACCAGACAAACAGCAAACGCUAAAGCUGGGACUUAAAUGCAUUAGAGGAUGGAUGAGAUGCACCUAGGAUCAAUAAACAUAAUAAACAUGAGGGAAAACUGGGUCAUGGAAAACACGUGGGGAACAAAAUGCCGUCUAAUGAUUGAGAUGGCUAAAUGCUACAUUAAAGGUAAAUGUUUUAUUUUAUCAGUGCCUUAUAAUUCUUAUAUUACUUUUUUUUUUGUGGAGAGAACAUAUGACAUAAAAUUACAUUUAAUUUCACUCGUUUGCUAUAUGGAAGAAAAUUCAUGCCACACUGAAAUGCAAUCAAUCAUUACAUUAAACUAUCUUUGGGAUCCGAAAGGAAACUAUUUACCUUUCUUAUGGCCAACAUUACCUGUGGUAUAAGUUCUGAUCUGUGAAAAAAUAAAUAAAAUAAAAAAACAACUGGAAAAACAAACGAGCAUUAUAUUUAUAUGAUAAUGUUAUUUAAACUUUAAGCUCUUAGUUUAAAGCGCCUUUGGAUAAUGACAGUUUAGAAAUCCUGUAAAAUAUUUUUAGCCAACUAGAUGUUAGGCCUUAGUUACUUUAAUCUUAAAACAUAAACAUAAAGGUAGAGUAUAUUUUAUUUAUUCUGACUUAGGGCCCUAUCUUGCACUCAGCGCAAUUGACUUUGUACACCGACGCAUGUGUCAUUCCUAUUUUGCACCCGCGCAA